CGCUGACCUUAGCAUUAAUCAACAUGUCGUUGGCGUGUUAGCUUGUCUGCCCGCUGCCAUUAGUGUUAAAAGGUGAAGCAGCCAGCAGGAAAUCAGUGUGGUUUCGUUUUACAGUGGACACUCCAAAGAGGAACAUAACGACGCAGAGGUAAUAUUUAUCAAUUGCAUUAAACUAUAAAAUGAUGCUAAACACAGUGUGAUGAGUAAAAGUACUCACCCUGUGAAGAUGCCUGGCAGUGAUGUUGUUCACCUAGUGGUGUGUAUAAUCUUGAUGUGGAAGUCUUGACGGAGACAAUCUGUACCUUUAUGGAGUUGCAAAGGAACAGGAGGACAAGGAACCUCAGCAAACGUGCAUCAAGGUGGGCCAAAACCCCCUAUGCCCCCCUUUGCACGCCAGUACCCCACUGUGUGUGCGUCUCUCACAGCGAGCGUUCCCAGGCAGUGUGGUUUCCACCAUGGAGGCCAGAUGGCGAGGACUUACCUGGCUCGGAAAUCUCCCCAAAAAGAUGAAGGCGAGACAUGGUGUCUCAACGCCGUGAUUUCAUCACGCUGACUCGUUGCCUGGCAAUAACAACAGUGACUCAUGCACAGCAUCUUCGACGCUCCCCAGUGCGUGUGUGUGCUUGUGCGUGUGUACAUGCAGUAAACAACCUGGGCACCAGCAGAAGCACCACAUGACUGCCAGGCUUCGUCCCUCUGAAGCCAUUUUCAAUUUGGAUCAUCAAACAUAUUUCCUCUAAGCACAUUACGGAUAUUAUGGGUGUGAGAAAAGGUCGGGUUUCAAGCAAGGGUUAGGGUUCCAAAGUUCGGUUUCAAGCAAAGGUUAGGGCAUAAAGACAGAGUCAGGGUUUCAAAUUAGGGUUUUUAAACAAGGUUAGGAUUUCAAGCAGAGGUUGGGUUUUCAGAUUAGGGUUUGAAACUCAGGUUAGGGUUUCAAACCAGGAUUAUGGUUUCAAAUGAGGGUUUUAAAAUAGGAUUAUCUUUUCAAAGUGUGGGUUUAAGUAAGGGUUAAAGUUUUAAAUUGGGGAUUUAAGCCUAAAUUGGGGUUUCAAGACAGGGUUAGGGUUUUUAAAUUAGAGGUUUAAUAUAUUUGCACAGUUUCAAGUUGGGUUUUAGAGUUUCAAGACAAGAUUAAGGUUUCAAACCAAGGUUAUCGUUUCAAAUUGGGGAUUCAUGACAGGAUUUGCAUUUCAAAUAAAAAAAAUUUAAGCAAGGGUUAAAGUUUUAAAUUGAGGUUUCCAACCUAGGUUAUAAUUUCAAGUAAAGUUUUGAGUUUCAAAUCAGGGUUCCAAGUUUAAGGGAAAGGUUUCAAAACAGUAUUAUUGUGGUUUCGAAAUAAGGUAUCAAGCCAGGGUUAGGGUUUUAAAUUAGGGCAUAGUUCAGGUUUCAAAAUGGGAUUAGUGUUUGAAGCAAAAACUAAGAUUUUAAAUUAGGGGUUCAAGUCAGUG